GGUUAAGCGACUAAGCGUACACGGUGGAUGCCCUGGCAGUCAGAGGCGAUGAAGGACGUGCUAAUCUGCGAUAAGCGUCGGUAAGGUGAUAUGAACCGUUAUAACCGGCGAUUUCCGAAUGGGGAAACCCAGUGUGUUUCGACACACUAUCAUUAACUGAAUCCAUAGGUUAAUGAGGCGAACCGGGGGAACUGAAACAUCUAAGUACCCCGAGGAAAAGAAAUCAACCGAGAUUCCCCCAGUAGCGGCGAGCGAACGGGGAGCAGCCCAGAGCCUGAAUCAGUGUGUGUGUUAGUGGAAGCGUCUGGAAAGGCGCGCGAUACAGGGUGACAGCCCCGUACACAAAAAUGCACAUGCUGUGAGCUCGAUGAGUAGGGCGGGACACGUGGUAUCCUGUCUGAAUAUGGGGGGACCAUCCUCCAAGGCUAAAUACUCCUGACUGACCGAUAGUGAACCAGUACCGUGAGGGAAAGGCGAAAAGAACCCCGGCGAGGGGAGUGAAAAAGAACCUGAAACCGUGUACGUACAAGCAGUGGGAGCACGCUUCGGCGUGUGACUGCGUACCUUUUGUAUAAUGGGUCAGCGACUUAUAUUCUGUAGCAAGGUUAACCGAAUAGGGGAGCCGAAGGGAAACCGAGUCUUAACUGGGCGUUAAGUUGCAGGGUAUAGACCCGAAACCCGGUGAUCUAGCCAUGGGCAGGUUGAAGGUUGGGUAACACUAACUGGAGGACCGAACCGACUAAUGUUGAAAAAUUAGCGGAUGACUUGUGGCUGGGGGUGAAAGGCCAAUCAAACCGGGAGAUAGCUGGUUCUCCCCGAAAGCUAUUUAGGUAGCGCCUCGUGAAUUCAUCUCCGGGGGUAGAGCACUGUUUCGGCAAGGGGGUCAUCCCGACUUACCAACCCGAUGCAAACUGCGAAUACCGGAGAAUGUUAUCACGGGAGACACACGGCGGGUGCUAACGUCCGUCGUGAAGAGGGAAACAACCCAGACCGCCAGCUAAGGUCCCAAAGUCAUGGUUAAGUGGGAAACGAUGUGGGAAGGCCCAGACAGCCAGGAUGUUGGCUUAGAAGCAGCCAUCAUUUAAAGAAAGCGUAAUAGCUCACUGGUCGAGUCGGCCUGCGCGGAAGAUGUAACGGGGCUAAACCAUGCACCGAAGCUGCGGCAGCGACACUAUGUGUUGUUGGGUAGGGGAGCGUUCUGUAAGCCUGUGAAGGUGUGCUGUGAGGCAUGCUGGAGGUAUCAGAAGUGCGAAUGCUGACAUAAGUAACGAUAAAGCGGGUGAAAAGCCCGCUCGCCGGAAGACCAAGGGUUCCUGUCCAACGUUAAUCGGGGCAGGGUGAGUCGACCCCUAAGGCGAGGCCGAAAGGCGUAGUCGAUGGGAAACAGGUUAAUAUUCCUGUACUUGGUGUUACUGCGAAGGGGGGACGGAGAAGGCUAUGUUGGCCGGGCGACGGUUGUCCCGGUUUAAGCGUGUAGGCUGGUUUUCCAGGCAAAUCCGGAAAAUCAAGGCUGAGGCGUGAUGACGAGGCACUACGGUGCUGAAGCAACAAAUGCCCUGCUUCCAGGAAAAGCCUCUAAGCAUCAGGUAACAUCAAAUCGUACCCCAAACCGACACAGGUGGUCAGGUAGAGAAUACCAAGGCGCUUGAGAGAACUCGGGUGAAGGAACUAGGCAAAAUGGUGCCGUAACUUCGGGAGAAGGCACGCUGAUAUGUAGGUGAAGUCCCUCGCGGAUGGAGCUGAAAUCAGUCGAAGAUACCAGCUGGCUGCAACUGUUUAUUAAAAACACAGCACUGUGCAAACACGAAAGUGGACGUAUACGGUGUGACGCCUGCCCGGUGCCGGAAGGUUAAUUGAUGGGGUUAGCGGUAACGCGAAGCUCUUGAUCGAAGCCCCGGUAAACGGCGGCCGUAACUAUAACGGUCCUAAGGUAGCGAAAUUCCUUGUCGGGUAAGUUCCGACCUGCACGAAUGGCGUAAUGAUGGCCAGGCUGUCUCCACCCGAGACUCAGUGAAAUUGAACUCGCUGUGAAGAUGCAGUGUACCCGCGGCAAGACGGAAAGACCCCGUGAACCUUUACUAUAGCUUGACACUGAACAUUGAGCCUUGAUGUGUAGGAUAGGUGGGAGGCUUUGAAGUGUGGACGCCAGUCUGCAUGGAGCCGACCUUGAAAUACCACCCUUUAAUGUUUGAUGUUCUAACGUUGACCCGUAAUCCGGGUUGCGGACAGUGUCUGGUGGGUAGUUUGACUGGGGCGGUCUCCUCCUAAAGAGUAACGGAGGAGCACGAAGGUUGGCUAAUCCUGGUCGGACAUCAGGAGGUUAGUGCAAUGGCAUAAGCCAGCUUGACUGCGAGCGUGACGGCGCGAGCAGGUGCGAAAGCAGGUCAUAGUGAUCCGGUGGUUCUGAAUGGAAGGGCCAUCGCUCAACGGAUAAAAGGUACUCCGGGGAUAACAGGCUGAUACCGCCCAAGAGUUCAUAUCGACGGCGGUGUUUGGCACCUCGAUGUCGGCUCAUCACAUCCUGGGGCUGAAGUAGGUCCCAAGGGUAUGGCUGUUCGCCAUUUAAAGUGGUACGCGAGCUGGGUUUAGAACGUCGUGAGACAGUUCGGUCCCUAUCUGCCGUGGGCGCUGGAGAACUGAGGGGGGCUGCUCCUAGUACGAGAGGACCGGAGUGGACGCAUCACUGGUGUUCGGGUUGUCAUGCCAAUGGCACUGCCCGGUAGCUAAAUGCGGAAGAGAUAAGUGCUGAAAGCAUCUAAGCACGAAACUUGCCCCGAGAUGAGUUCUCCCUGACUCCUUGAGAGUCCUGAAGGAACGUUGAAGACGACGACGUUGAUAGGCCGGGUGUGUAAGCGCAGCGAUGCGUUGAGCUAACCGGUACUAAUGAACCGUGAGGCUUAACCUU
rnacentral:rRNA from 1 species